rnacentral:rRNA from 1 species
UACGGGGGGAGCAAGCGUUGUUCGGAUUUACUGGGCGUAAAGGGCGCGUAGGCGGCCACUGCAAGUCGGUUGUGAAAUCUCCGGGCUUAACCCGGAAAGGUCAACCGAUACUGCAGGGCUAGAGUGCAGAAGGGGCAACUGGAAUUCUCGGUGUAGCGGUGAAAUGCGUAGAUAUCAAGAGGAACACCUGCGGCGAAGGCGGGUUGCUGGGCUGACACUGACGCUGAAGCGCGAAAGCCAGGGGAGCAAACGGG